CCUACGGGAGGCAGCAGUGAGGAAUAUUGGUCAAUGGGCUUACGCCUGAACCAGCCAAGUCGCGUGAGGGAAGACUGCCCUAUGGGUUGUAAACCUCUUUUGUCAGGGAGCAACGCCGGCUACGUGUAGCCGGACUGAGAGUACCUGAAGAAAAAGCAUCGGCUAACUCCGUGCCAGCAGCCGCGGUAAUACGGAGGAUGCGAGCGUUAUCCGGAUUUAUUGGGUUUAAAGGGUGCGUAGGCGGAAUGCCAAGUCAGCGGUAAAAUCGCGGGGCUCAACCUCGCUCCGCCGUUGAAACUGGCGGUCUUGAGUGGGCGAGAAGUAUGCGGAAGGCGUGGUGUAGCGGUGAAAUGCAUAGAUAUCACGAAGAACUCCGAUUGCGAAGGCAGCAUACCGGCGCUCAACUGAGGCUCAUGCACGAAAGCGUGGGUAUCGAACAGGAUUAGAUACCCCAGUAGUC
rnacentral:rRNA from 1 species